UGGGGAAUUUUGGACAAUGGGCGAAAGCCUGAUCCAGCAAUGCCGCGUGUGUGAAGAAGGCCUUCGGGUUGUAAAGCACUUUUGUCCGGAAAGAAAUCCUUGGCUCUAAUACAGUCGGGGGAUGACGGUACCGGAAGAAUAAGCACCGGCUAACUACGUGCCAGCAGCCGCGGUAAUACGUAGGGUGCAAGCGUUAAUCGGAAUUACUGGGCGUAAAGCGUGCGCAGGCGGUUUGCUAAGACCGAUGUGAAAUCCCCGGGCUCAACCUGGGAACUGCAUUGGUGACUGGCAGGCUAGAGUAUGGCAGAGGGGGGUAGAUUCCACGUGUAGCAGUGAAAUGCGUAGAGAUGUGGAGGAAUACCGAUGGCGAAGGCAGCCCCCUGGGCCAAAUACUGACGCUCAUGCACGAAAGCGUGGGGAGCAAACAGGAUUAGAUACCCUGGUAGUCCACGCCCUAAACGAUGUCAACUAGUUGUUGGGGAUUCAUUUCCUUAGUAACGUAGCUAACGCGUGAAGUUGACCGCCUGGGGAGUACGGUCGCAAAGAUUAAAACUCAAAGGAAUUGACGGGGUCAUAGCUGUUUCCU
rnacentral:rRNA from 1 species